GUGUCAUGCAAGAAGGAGGCGGCGGCGGCGGCGGCGGCGGCCGGAGCUGGAGGGGGAGGAGGGGAGGAACCUGAUCCUCGGUAGCGAAGGGCUGGAGGCAAACACCGAGCUCCCCCUGAGCCGCCUGGGAGCAGGGAGGGUUCUGCUACCCUGAGGUGCCCUCCCCGCGGGGCAGAGGGGUUUCCUCAGCAGUGCCCCAGAGCAGGGACUGCGCCAGCCGGCAGAAACAGCUAGUUCUUGUCUGCAGUGAAGAAUAAUUGGAAGCAUGGUGCCUGUUUCUUUUCCUGUGGGAGGAAGUCACAGCAUGUGCUUCUGAACCUGUGCUUGCCUUGAGGAACAACGGCAUGACACGGGGAUGUGGACGCUUUCAACCAGAAGAUUCUGUACGAUAGUGUCGGCACACAAGGAGUGUUCCGCUGACUGACCUCUUUUUGUUUUCAAAUGAAGAGGAGCCAAGAAUAGGACAGCUUGGGAAGGUGAGCUGCGUAUAACUCGUCAGGCUGAACUCAUCCUCGUCUACGGCCAAACGUUGGUUUCUCAUUUCUAGAAUGAAAGAUGUGAUGACUUAGGGAAAACUGGGAUCUUAGUAACUGUGGUGGGCACUGAGCCUUGCCGUCCACAAGAGAAAGCUUGCUGCUCGAGAUGUGAGUCUUCAGAUGUUCCUGCCGCCAUAUCUGACAGCUGCUGCCAAGAUUCCCUGGUGGGAUGGACUCUUAUACCUCGACAACCAGAAGCCCAAGUAAACUCUUCUAUAAAUUGAAUGACUCAUGCUU
rnacentral:lncRNA from 1 species